UGGGGAAUUUUGGACAAUGGGGGCAACCCUGAUCCAGCAAUGCCGCGUGUGUGAAGAAGGCCUUCGGGUUGUAAAGCACUUUUGUCCGGAAAGAAAACUUCGGGGCUAAUACCCCUGGAGGAUGACGGUACCGGAAGAAUAAGCACCGGCUAACUACGUGCCAGCAGCCGCAGUAAUACGUAGGGUGCGAGCGUUAAUCGGAAUUACUGGGCGUAAAGCGUGCGCAGGCGGUGCUGUAAGACCGAUGUGAAAUCCCCGGGAUUAACCUGGGAGCUGCAUUGGUGACUGCAGCGCUGGAGUAUGGCAGAGGGGGGUGGAAUUCCACGUGUAGCAGUGAAAUGCGUAGAGAUGUGGAGGAACACCGAUGGCGAAGGCAGCCCCCUGGGCCAAUACUGACGCUCAUGCACGAAAGCGUGGGGAGCAAACAGG
rnacentral:rRNA from 1 species